AGAUAAGCUGUCGCAGUUAAAAUAAAGUUGUCUGCCAAAUAUUCUCGCCGGAGUUUGGAGCUGGCCCGGCUGAAUGGAUGUACUCUGUAUUGAGAAAGCUCCUUAAGAGGUAGAGCAGUGCUCUGCUCUCAGCGGGAACUUCCGCGUUCCCCGCCUUCUCUUUACUGGGCCGGGUUGGGGAGCACGGAUCCUUAAUUUACUUUGAGCAAAUUGGAGUGUUACAAGCAGGCGGUUGCUCUGAACAUUUUUAGCACUGGUAUAAUAAACUAGGACCCCGUUCCUAUUUUGAUGGUUUGUAGGGAUGGGGUAAUGGUUAAUAGGAUCAUUUGGGGCCUUGAGU
rnacentral:rRNA from 1 species